rnacentral:tRNA from 1 species
GGAGGUACAGCUCAGUGUCAGAGCGCCUGUCUAGCAUGCAUGAGGUCCUGGGUUCAGUCCCCAGUACCUCUA